UAGGGAAUCUUCGGCAAUGGGGGGAACCCUGACCGAGCAACGCCGCGUGAGUGAAGAAGGUUUUCGGAUCGUAAAGCUCUGUUGUUAAGGAAGAACGAGUGUGAGAAUGGAAAGUUCAUGCUGUGACGGUACUUAACCAGAAAGGGACGGCUAACUACGUGCCAGCAGCCGCGGUAAUACGUAGGUCCCGAGCGUUGUCCGGAUUUAUUGGGCGUAAAGCGAGCGCAGGCGGUUAGAAAAGUCUGAAGUGAAAGGCAGUGGCUCAACCAUUGUAGGCUUUGGAAACUGUUUAACUUGAGUGCAGAAGGGGAGAGUGGAAUUCCAUGUGUAGCGGUGAAAUGCGUAGAUAUAUGGAGGAACAACGGUGGCGAAAGCGGCUCUCAGGUCUGUAACUGACGAUGAGGCUCGAAAGCGUGGGGAGCGAACAGG
rnacentral:rRNA from 1 species